CCCUUAGAUGUUCUGGGCCGCACACGCGCUACACUGAAGGAGGCAGCGUGUACUCCUGGAUCGAAAGAUUUGGGUAACCCGCGAAUCUCCUUCGUGCUAGGGAUUGAGGUUUGCAAUUAUCCUUCAUGAACGAGGAAUUCCCAGUAAGUGCAAGUCAUAAGCUUGCGCUGACUACGUCCCUGCCCUUUGUACACACCGCCCGUCGCUCCUACCGAUUGAAUGGUCCGGUGAAGCGCUCGGACCGCGGCCUCUUGACGGUUUUCCGUCGAUUGGCUGUGGGAAGUUCGUUAAACCUUAUCAUUUAGAGGAAGGAGAAGUCGUAACA
rnacentral:rRNA from 1 species